GCAAGGCUAAAACUCAAAGGAAUUGACGGGGGCCCGCACAAGCGGCGGAGCAUGCGGAUUAAUUCGAUGCAACGCGAAGAACCUUACCAAGGCUUGACAUAUACGAGAACGCACUGGAGACAGUGAACUCUUUGGACACUCGUAUACAGGUGGUGCAUGGUUGUCGUCAGCUCGUGUCGUGAGAUGUUGGGUUAAGUCCCGCAACGAGCGCAACCCUCGUCCUAUGUUGCCAGCACGUAAUGGUGGGAACUCAUGGGAUACUGCCGGGGUCAACUCGGAGGAAGGUGGGGAUGAGGUCAAAUCAUCAUGCCCCUUAUGUCUUGGGCUUCACGCAUGCUACAAUGGCCAGUACAAUGGGCUGCGAUACCGCAAGGUGGAGCGAAUCCCAAAAAGCUGGUCUCAGUUCGGAUUGAGGUCUGCAACUCGACCUCAUGAAGUCGGAGUCGCUAGUAAUCGUAGAUCAGCAACAG
rnacentral:rRNA from 1 species